CUGUCACCUAUAUAUGUUUACAUGUGGUCACAAACAGCAUUUCAGUGUUCAGGUUGUUUUUGCCGAGUAGUUACGUUUUGAUAGUGUAUUCUGUACCCUAUUGAAAGACAAUUUAUUGAUUGAAGACCAUUAAGUUGCAGAACUCCAAAGAUGGUUAGACUUUUUCUAUCAGAACGAUCCUGUUCUACUGAAUACAAUGAACAAUAAGUGAAUACAAUGAACAAUAAGUAAAUACAACAAUAAAAUUUCAUAUGGUACAUGACAUGUGACGGUAAAAAGACAUUAUUACCACUAUUAAACAACGUACAAACCUAAAA